AGUGGCGACCGGGUGAGUAACACGUGACUAACCUACCUUUUAGUGGGGGAUAACCCCGGGAAACCGGGGCUAAUACCGCAUAACAUCGCAAAGAUCAAAGCAGCAAUGCGCUGGAAGAGGGGGUCGCGGCUGAUUAGCUAGUUGGCGGGGUAACGGCCCACCAAGGCGAAGAUCGGUAUCCGGCCUGAGAGGGCGCACGGACACACUGGAACUGAAACACGGUCCAGACUCCUACGGGAGGCAGCAGUGGGGAAUUUUGCGCAAUGGGGGAAACCCUGACGCAGCAACGCCGCGUGGAGGAUGAAGCCCCUUGGGGCGUAAACUCCUUUCGACCAAGACGAUAAUGACGGUACUGGUGGAAGAAGCACCGGCUAACUCUGUGCCAGCAGCCGCGGUAAUACAGAGGGUGCGAGCGUUGUUCGGAAUUAUUGGGCGUAAAGGGUGCGUAGGCGGUGCCACAAGUCACUUGUGAAAUCUCCGGGCUUAACUCGGAGCCUGCAGGCGA
rnacentral:rRNA from 1 species